UGCUCCUCCACGAUCACCCCCAAAUUGUGUGGGAGUGUGUUGGGUCCCCGUGGCUGCUACUAAUUGGCCGAAUAGAGUUACGCGGACCAAUAAAAAAAGGAAAUUUGCCGGCCAACGGAAAGGGAGAAGCAGGAUUUUAUUUAUUUAUUCGUGAGAGACACACACAGAGAGAGAGGCAGAGACACAGGCGGAAGGAGAAGCAGGCUCCAUGCAGGGAGCUCAACGUGGAACUGGAGCUCGACGUGGGACUGGAACCCGACAUGGGACUCGAUCCCGGGUCUCCAGGAUCAGGCCCUGGGCCGAAGGCGGCACUAAACCGCUAAGCCACCGGGGUGCCCUUUUUUAAAGUAAUAUCUAUACCCAACAUGGCUCAAACUCACAACCCCGAGAUCAAGAGUCACAUGCUCUACUGACUGAGUCAGCCAGGCUCCUCUUACUUAUUAAUUUUAACAUCUAUCAAUAAGUCAUGCCUGCAACAAUUAUUACUGUGCAAUUUGCUUAAUGAUGAUUUUCUAUUUCUAUCAUUCCUUCUAUAUUUACUUAUUAGAAUCCUACAGUAAGGAAGAGAUGUCUCUUCUCCCCCAUUUACUUAUUUAUAUUAGAAUAGACUCAUGAAAAUUUAUUUUAUUUAUAGGUAAUUAUUAGUAUCUGUCGUGUAAUUUUUUGUGUCAACUUGACUAGAUCAAGGAAUGCUGAUAUUUGGUUAAGUGAUAUUUUGGGGUGUAUCUGUGGGGGUGUUCCUGGAUGAAAUGGACAUUUCAUCAAUCAGUGGACUUUGAAGUGGUUAGCUGUCCCAAAUGCGAGUGGGCAUCAUCCAAUCCAUUGGGGGUCUGAAGAGAACAAAAAGUUGUAGGGGAGGGGGAAGAAUUUGCCCCUUCCUGCCUGAUUGCUUGAGGUGGACAUCAAUCUUCUGCUCUUAGUGCUUCUGGUUCUCAGGUUUUCCGACUCUGAUGGAAUUAUACCACGGCUCUCCUGGAUCUCCAGCAUGCACAUGGCAGACUGUGGGACUUUAUGGUCUCCAUAAUUGCAUAAGCCAAUUCUUGUUAAUAAAUCUCUUCACAUAUA